UAGCAUAGCCAGUCAACGUACCUUAAGUUCGACUUACCGCAGCAUCCUCUACUGCGGGGGUGGAGGGUCAAUGAGAGAAACUCUCCUGUCAACUUCUACUGCUCAUGACCCGUUGGAGUACUGGUGUCGAUGAGAGCACAAUCAGCAGUCGAUUUGGUGUGUCCUUUCUAGACCAGUUAAAUUGAUCCUCCGGGAGACCGAUCUUCACAGCAUGGAUCUCCCACUGAACUGUUACAACUAUUGACACUCUUCAAAAGGUUCCGCGCUGAACCCUACCCAGACUCGGCAGGCUCCAAUGGACAUCUUCAAACCCAGAGAAUGGAGGGGCAAGAGCUUCCCCUGUGUGAUGCCAAAACCAACAAAGCCCCACGGAUCAGGUAUUAGAAUCUACAAAGGCUUCAAAUUACUUCAGAACUAUACAUCUAAGAAGUGGCAUCUAACCAAGAUAGAAACUGCUAAACUACAUUUGCUGGAAUGGAUUGAGACUAAUAUGGGAAUAAACAUUUAAAAAAGAAAUGCCUAAUGUCACCCAUAGUGCUGAAGAACUGAUCACCAGAAAGGAGAAUAAUGCUUAUUUUUAAAGGCUGGUAUGCAGGGAUGUAUGAUGUACUGUAGUUUUAUAUGAAGGCUUUACUUGUACAGUAAUUGACAAAAGGGAAAUUAAA